GCUAAGACUCAGUGCCAGGCAUCUGCAAGGCAGCUAGGGCGGUAGAAGAGGACAUUUUUCUAAGCUGAAAUUAGGCUUUUCACAACGUCCAUUUCAAGCAGAACGAUUAUGACAAGAAGGAAGGCAGUGAACCGGGAAAGGCAGCAUAAGAUCAUUUCAGAAUGAAGAUGCUUUGGGAUCUGACUUCGGACUGUAAGAAUGACAAACUCUGAAUGGGUGCAAAGGUAGCAGAUGACCUUCAAAGGAUGGUGAGAUUAAAUUUACCUACACCUAGAGAAAUAAUUGGAGCACAUGUCUAUUUGGGCCAAGAGGAUAAAGGCCAGUAGAGGAAUCAGAUCAAAGAACUUCCUCAGGGAAGUGUGCAGAGAACUGGAGUGGACCUUCCCCUAGGAAGCUGCCCAAAACGAGAGUGCUGGAAAGCUGGCCGCAGUGAGGCACUUCAGAUCCCAAGGGUAUGCUGGGGAAGCUGCCACAGGUGGGAGCACUUGCUGCUGGACCCUAGGCACUGUUGAAACAACUGCACCAUCUGCAGGAGCCCAGCAAGGCUUUCAAAUUACAUCUGAAGAAGACAAGGCAAAUAGUUAUUUAGGUCAGCGUAGUUUUCAUCUGUGUUUAUUUUCUGUGUAUAUUACUUAACAAACAACAUAAAUGAAAAGGCACUUAGUCUUAACACAGAAAAACUGAAAUCUGUCUUUUUAAAUCUAAUUCUAGUCAAUUAAAAUCAAACCAGAAUUUAUACUUUUUCGUUAUCUUGGGGCAGAGACUGAGACUUUGGUAGAUUUGCUGAUUUGUUGUUUGCUGAGCUAAAGAUCUUUCCUCCAACACCCCGCUCCAACAUACUCACAUAUUCACGAAACACAACAGUGACCCUGUACAAGAAAUCACCAUCCUGGGCAAUCAUUACCCUGACAAGAAAUCAGCACAUGAAGAUGUUUGCUACCAAGGUGGGGCUGCACAGCUCAGGCACUGCUCAGCUAAGUCCCCUAGGAGAGACAUUGCAGAGGCUUUGUCAGGGCUGCAGCCGACAGCUACAUGGGAAUUGGGAUUCACUGACUUGCCCAGCCUCCUUGCUUUCUCUAUUCCUGAAGAGGAUGAAGAAGACAAUCCAGAAUCAAGGAAGAAGAAGCAAUUUCCUCUUUGCUUAGGAGGGAUUUUGGCUAGCAUCUUUCAAACAUGAAAUAGGACCCAUGAAGGAGCUUUUCAAAACAAUCAGCAUAUAGUGAAUCACAAAUGCUAAUCUUUAGCAUUUUAAAGUAUGAUACAUUUUCUGCUACAUGUAUUUUACAAACAAAAAACAACAAAAAAAAGUGUAGGUAACAACAACAACGACAACAGCAAAAGGAUUAUGGUGAUUGCCAAGCAGUUAAUUAUUUUGUUAUUUUCUGGAUUUUAUGAUAUUUGUGGUGCUGUCAGCAUUUUAAAAUCUAUAAUAAUGUCUCAUUAUACAUAUUCACUUUAUUGAAAGAAAAUAUGGGUUAAGCACACCACCAGAAAACCAAGAAACAGAUUUUCCUUCUAUGAAUACGUCAAUAAAAAAUGAAGAUACAAUGAAGGGAAAAUUUGGAAUGUGGAAGGGAGCUUUUGGAGGCAUGGCAGAAACAUUAACACGAGUGAAGAUCUCCCAAAAGAGAACUCUGAUAGGUUUAUAGACAUUUUUUCUUUAGGGGAGUUAUAUAAGGGGAAAUACAAUCAAUUCUAGGGUUUAAAUAUACACACAGAGGACUUUACAAUUUUGAGAAAAAUAAUCACUUAAUAAAAGAAUCAAGUCUUUUAUACCUGUUAGACUCAUCAUCUCUAGGGAGAUCAUUCAUUUAACCAAGACUAUAGUCAGAGAUAUCCAAUGGGAUAACAUGAUAUCCCUCAAGAGCUUUUGAGAGAUUAGUAAUACGAUGCCAUAUCCCUUAUCAAAUAAUAUUUUGCUAGGAAUCAGAGUGUGCUGAGUUUUUAAAAGAUCAUUGUGUGAAAGAAUUUGAAAUUAUUAUUAUGAUUAUUACUAUUAUUAUUUAGCACAGAAUGACAGAAUGGUUUCAGGGACUAAUAAUCAGCCAAAUAACUCUUAAAAUUGCUUGUUACAAACAUUCCCAGGCUGAUAGUGGCCAAAACCCAUUCUGAUUGGACAGUUGUACAAUAGACUACCGUAUUUAUGUUUCCCUAAACUUAAGCCUGAAACAGGAAGAAUUUUCUGCCUU
rnacentral:lncRNA from 10 species